UACGUAGGGUGCAAGGCGUUGUCCGGAAUUAUUGGGCGUAAAGAGCUCGUAGGCGGUCUGUUGCGUCGGCUGUGAAAACCCGGGGCUCAACCCGGGCCUGCAGCCGAUACGGGCAGACUAGAGUUCGGCAGGGGAGACUGGAAUUCCUGGUGUAGCGGUAGAAAUGCGCAGAUAUCAGGAGGAACACCGGUGGCGAAGGCGGGUCUCUGGGCCGAUACUGACGCUGAGGAGCGAAAGCGUGGGGAGCGAUCGG
rnacentral:rRNA from 1 species